AUCUGGGAGAAGGUGUUUUCACCCUUUCAAGCUGGGGUGCUUUCACCACCGGGAAGUGCCACGCUGCUUUCCACGCUGGAACAAGGACUCACUUCCUAAGGCCUUGGUUCCCCAGGAGCUGUUGGCCAGAAGCCUCCCUCGGUGCCCUGCCUCAUGGGCCUCUUCGUUGAGCAUCUCACAACGUGGCAGCUUACUUCAUCAGUGCAAGCAAGCAAGAGCAAGAGAGAGGACUCACCAGAGACAGUAAUAGCAAAACAGAAGGCACAGUCUUUCGUAAUCCAAUCACAGAUGUGACAUCCCAUCACUGUUGCCACAUCCUGUGAGUUAGAAGUAAGUCAUUAGGUCCAGCCCACACUCAAGGAGAUUACACAAGGAUGUAAAGACCAGCAAGAGGAUCAUUGGGAGCUAUUUUAGAAGCAGCCUACUCUAAGAUAAUAAUAACAUCUAGGGUUUGUUUAAAAUUUAAAUUAGAGACUGCAUGGUGGCAGCUACUUGGGAGGCUGAGGUGGGAGGCUCACUUGAGGCCAGGGGUUUGAGGCCAGCUUGGGCAACAUGGUGAGACUCCUCCAUCUCUUAAAAAAAAAAAACAAAUAUAUGUGUAUAUUUUUAAAUAUUCAAAAAUCAAAUUAGAGAAUAUGUUCAAUUCGGGCCAGCAUAUGUUAUGUAAUAUAUAACUGUUAUAUAUAAUAACUAUUAUUACCAUUAAUAUUAUUAUUGACUAUAUAAUGGCUGGUUUUCUCCCCUAGCUCCUAGAAGGAACCCUUUUAUGAGGAGUAAAUGAAAUAAUAUACAUAAUUCAGGACCUGA
rnacentral:lncRNA from 1 species